UGUGUGUGUGUUUUGGGGGGGGAGGGGGUGGAGGUCGAGAGUGCAUGGAAAUUUGCAACUGCCUAUAGUAUUACUUGGAUUGACGAUGAUUCACGAUGAGGCCUAUAGAUACAAAUUCGCUUAUAAGUCAUUUGAUAUGACGCGUGUCAAAACGAAUGUUGUUUGAAGUAAAGAGAAUAAUAUUAGCAAGACUUGUCUCUAUUAAUCACUUUGGCUCGUUAUGUUGGGGCGGGGGGGGGGGGGGGAAUUCUAUGGUCAGUUGUCAAGAUUUUACGAUCGGGGAGUUAGGCACUUGUUUUGAUCAUGGAUGCGGUCUUACCAGGAAUUGCUAGUGAUACCAGAUAUUGUCUACGAUAUCCAUCCAUAUGAAUCUUUUAUAGGUUUUCUAUGUAAGGAUAUUAGGCUUUCUACACCAUUUUUUUUUUUUUACUCUAGCUUUUGAUAUUGUUCGCGAAUAUAGGUCUUUACAUACAGCGUCAGUCACCAGGGACCGUAACUUCUCGUUUAACUCUUGACUUGUCACAAAAAUCUACUAAUUGACUCUUUCUAACUAUGUUUCUACCAAGUAUCGACUGAUAGCACUUUGACUUCCGACUACAACAGACAAAAUUGCCAUCACUUGGAUCUACGAUCUCUAAGUAGUAUCACCUUUGAUGUCGUUCAAAAACGUAUACCUUGGUCUGACAAUGAAAAGUAAAUUGAGUAAUAUUUCAAAAGAUGACGACACCUUAUCUCUCACGGCCUCACGAAAGGAGAUAAACCUCAAGGACGUUCCCCAAGUUUACAAGGAAAGGAAAAAUGAUGUAUUUGGAUGAAUCAAAUGGCGAAAUGAAGAAAAGAUACUGCGUUAAUUCCCGACGAUGUCCUCCAUGAGCGUGACGGAUGCAGCGCGUGCUGUUCUUGAUAGAUUUUUGAACCACUGAGUAACGACAAGAUAUUGUAGGAGUUACUGGGUUUUCGUGACUUCUGGAGGUCGCAGGAAGGAAAGCACGAGCUGUUAUUUAAAUCCACGAGACUGAUUUGGAACUCUCCGUGGGUAACUACAUAAUAAGACCUCGUUAGACUUCAAGUCAGUGAUGUGUAUUUCUGUGAUUAGAAGUUCACUAGUCUCGACGUGGUUCGGAAGUCACGUAAAGCCUUUGGUCCCGUUGCUGAAUAACCACUGGUUCCAUGCAACGUAAAAACACCAUACAAACACACAAACUAACCACAGGUGGCCAUGCUUUUACAACCUUUACAACGGAAAUUCAAGAGUGGCUUCAGUUCUGAGAGCGCCUUUGCUAUUCUGUAGCCGAAUCUUGUAACCAGGAAAGUGGUCCUGUGGAUGUCAUACAUCAGAACACAAUGUGUUUCCUCUACGACGGAAGUGACUGAAUUUUGUGUAAAAGAAAACUCGUGCGAUCAAGCAAUCCAAGAAUUUUGUUCCAUGUUGGUGGUAUUUCAGCAACCGGUAUGACCACCUCGGGAUCCCAGAGGCCACUUGAAAUUUCAAUUCGAGAAAUAAUUUCAGUUGGCGCCGAUAACUGCACAGCCGUUGAAAAUACUAUACAAAAUGGCGCGUGAUAUGUGUAUAAAGAUGAAGGCCUUUCGACAAUCUGACUAAAUGGUGCCCAGAAGGAUUCCUAUUUCUGAUACCAUCGCGUCUUACAUCAAAAAUCCUCAAGAUCAGAGUGUAAUGGCGUGGCCACCGUGGUACUGGGCUGCAAGACGGACCCGUUGCAAAGGCACAUCCCACUACAUUCAUGUCCAGCGUGAUAUUUGGCGUGCAAUGAUAGGCCUAAUGUUAUUUUUUUUAUCUGUAUUCAAGAUUUUUCUUAAUGUUAUUUCCAAGGAACAUCAUUCAGCAGUUAUCUAUGGGAAAGAUUUCCAUAAGAUUCUUUGGUUUAAAAAUGAUUUAGAUGUGCUCUUUUUAUUCUCAUAUUUCGAGGAUACAAUUUUGCAAUGGAAUUUUUUUUAUCUACUUAAAUAUUCAAUAUAGAAUCCAGUCAGUUGAAAUUAAAUCUUUUAGCAAAUUUAUUUUCACUUGAAGCUCAUAAGGACUUUGAAUUUCAAUAAAAACUAUUUUUUUAAGUACUCUCCUCAAAUGAACCUGUGUGUCAGAGUCAAACAAAAUAAACGAAGCUAUUUUU